GACGAACGCUGGCGGCGUGCUUAACACAUGCAAGUCGAACGCUGAAGCUUGGUGCUUGCGCUGGGUGGAUGAGUGGCGCACGGGUGAGCAAUACGUGAGUAACCUGCCCUUGACUCUGGGAUAAUCCUGGGAAACUGGGUCUAAUACUGGAUACGACAUGUCACCGCAUGGUGGUGUGUGGAAAGGGUUUUACUGGUUUUGGAUGGGCUCACGGCCUAUCAGCUUGUUGGUGGGGUAAUGGCUCACCAAGGCGACGACGGGUAGCCGGCCUGAGAGGGUGACCGGCCACACUGGGACUGAGACACGGCCCAGACUCCUACGGGAGGCAGCAGUGGGGAAUAUUGCACAAUGGGCGGAAGCCUGAUGCAGCGACGCCGCGUGAGGGAUGACGGCCUUCGGGUUGUAAACCGCUUUCAGCACGGAAGAAGCGAAAGUGACGGUACGUGCAGAAGAAGCGCCGGCUAACUACGUG
rnacentral:rRNA from 1 species